GAUGAACGCUGGCGGCGUGCCUAAUACAUGCAAGUCGAGCGAACGGACGAGAAGCUUGCUUCUCUGAUGUUAGCGGCGGACGGGUGAGUAACACGUGGAUAACGUACCUAUAAGACUGGGAUAACUUCGGGAAACCGGAGCUAAUACCGGAUAAUAUUUUGAACCGCAUGGUUCAAAAGUGAAAGACGGUCUUGCUGUCACUUAUAGAUGGAUCCGCGCUGCAUUAGCUAGUUGGUAAGGUAACGGCUUACCAAGGCAACGAUGCAUAGCCGACCUGAGAGGGUGAUCGGCCACACUGGAACUGAGACACGGUCCAGACUCCUACGGGAGGCAGCAGUAGGGAAUCUUCCGCAAUGGGCGAAAGCCUGACGGAGCAACGCCGCGUGAGUGAUGAAGGUCUUCGGAUCGUAAAACUCUGUUAUUAGGGAAGAACAGAUGUGUAAGUAACUGUGCACAUCUUGACGGUACCUAAUCAGAAAGCCACGGCUAACUACGUG
rnacentral:rRNA from 1 species